rnacentral:lncRNA from 1 species
GCCGGAUGCAGGAUUUGGAAGAAGCCGGGGCUGCGGUUCAGAAGGUGCCGGGGGACUUGGAGAGGCCGCUUGGGCAAGGCUCCUGCCUCAGGAGUCAGCUACCGGCUUGUGAAUCCCGGGCUCUGCCCUUGAGACCAGUCGUUAACCGCUGUGCGCCACGGUCUUCCCAUCUGUGAAACGAAGAUGGUAACAUCGUCUGCCUCAGAGGGCUGCUCUCAGGACGAUGUGAGUUGAUACAAAUCAUGCGUUGAGAACAACAGAUCAGGGGACACAGCGUGAGCAGUUCAGUGGUCACCUUUGCUGCUGGAGGUCCCUGGGAGUGGCCACACGGUACUCAAGUCGGAGGGAUGGCGCUGGCCGUGAGAGGGCUGGGGAGGGGCAGAGCUCGCAUCCCCUCCAGAUGUCUGCCCCUUCCUCAGUGAUGCAGAUGCUGAGUGGUUUGCUGGACAGGGCACAGUUCUAGGGAGAGGGUAGAAGCCAGAGAACUGACGUCUAUAGCGUUGUGGGCCCCACAUUCGCUAAAUUUCAGGCCAAGUAAUUGUGAGACCAGGUGCCUGGUUGACUCAGUCGGUUAACCUUCUGACUCUUGAUUUCAGCUCAGGUCAUGGUGUCCAUCUGUCGUCAGAUCAAGCCCUGCGUCCGGCUCCAUGGUGAGUGUGGAGCCUGCUUGGGAUUCUGUCUCUCCCUCUCUCUCUCUGCCUCUCCCCUGCUCGUUUGCACGUGCUCUGUCUCUCUCUCAAAAAAUAAAU